UACGAAGGGGGCUAGCGUUGCUCGGAAUCACUGGGCGUAAAGCGCACGUAGGCGGAUUUGUAAGUCAGGGGUGAAAUCCCGGGGCUCAACCUCGGAACUGCCUUUGAUACUGCAAAUCUCGAGUCCGGAAGAGGUGAGUGGAAUUCCUAGUGUAGAGGUGAAAUUCGUAGAUAUUAGGAAGAACACCAGUGGCGAAGGCGGCUCAGUGGUCCGGUACUGACGCUGAGGUGCGAAAGCGUGGGGAGCAAACAGG
rnacentral:rRNA from 1 species